rnacentral:rRNA from 1 species
GACGAACGCUGGCGGCGUGCCUAAUACAUGCAAGUAGGACGGAGUUGCGAACGGGUGAGUAACGCGUAGGUAACUACCUAUUAGAGGGGGAUAACUAUUGGAAACGAUAGCUAAUACUGCAUACUAGUAGAAGGACCUGCGUUGUAUUAGCUAGUAGGUAGGGUAAUGGCCUACCUAGGCAACGAUACAUAGCCGGCCUUGGCGGGGUGUCGGCCACACCGGGAAUGGGGCCCGGCCCCGACUCCUACGGGAGGCCACAGUAGGGAAUCUUCGGCAAUGGGGGGAAACCUGACCGCGCCACGCCGCGGGAGUGGAAAAGGUUUUCAGAUCGUAAAGCUCUGUUGUUCAGGAAGCGGUACUUAACCAGAAAGCGACGGCUAACUAUGUGCCAGCAGCCGCGGUAAUAC